rnacentral:rRNA from 1 species
GUGUCAGCAGCCGCGGUAAGACGGAGGGGGCUAGCGUUGUUCGGAAUUACUGGGCGUAAAGGGCGUGUAGGCGGUCGCUCGUGUCGGGCGUUAAAGGCCUGGGCUCAACCUGGGGGCUGCGUUCGAGACUGGGCGGCUGGAGUUCGAGAGGGGGAUGCGGAAUUCCGCGUGUAGCAGUGAAAUGCGUAGAUAUGCGGAGGAACACCUGAGGCGAUGGCGGCAUCCUGGAUCGACACUGACGCUGAGGCCCGAAAGCGUGGGGAGCAAACAGGAUUAGAUACCCUGGUAGUCCACGCCCUAAACGAUGUCUACUAGCCGUUGCGGGUAUCGACCCCUGCAGUGGCGCAGCUAACGCGAUAAGUAGACCGCCUGGGGAGUACGGCCGCAAGGUUAAAACUUAAAUGAAUUGACGGGG